rnacentral:tRNA from 1 species
GGGGGUGUGGCUCAGUGGUAAAGCACUUGCCUGCCACACACAAGGCCCUGGGUUUAAUACCUAGCACCAUUU